CUAGAGGUCCAACGACUCUGAUCACAUUGACUACAAACAUGCCAACAACAUCACCAACAGGAUCUUCAGCAGUUCCAUCUUCAAAUGACUUGAUACCUACUGGAGCCAGAAAUGGGAAACACACAACGCAUUUCACCAGUUUGUCUCUGCUGAAAAUUCUCCUACCAUCAUGUGGAUUUCUACUGCUUCUUCUGCUUGAUGUGAUGGGAACCUGGAAGCUGUGGCAAAUGCGGACCAAAACCACAGCAGCGUAAUGACUCUGGAGAUGAAGUGAGCUACAACUCUUUAGCAAUCUAACUCAAAUAGGAGUCGUGACUGAAAAGAGGAAAAUACAGAGAGAUCAUGAUUCACCAAGAAGGAGCCUCACCUUAUGUAUUUUUUUGAUGUGGUCAUAUUCCAAAGUUGAUUAUACAUGUACUGGGCACAGUUAUGGACCCCUGCAUGUCACUCCCCCAACAUGCUGACCUUGUGUUUAAAAUGGCCCAACAGCUCCUGCACCUUCCACACAGGCUUAUGAGUUUUAAUUUUGGU